UAAUACUCUCAUUCCACAUUAUAUAUUUGUUUCUAUACAAAGGUCCUUCACAAGCCUCAAAUUUUUGGACACUUUUGAUGACUUGUGAUGUGUUGGGGGGCAAGGCAACCACAGAUAACAAACACCCUGCAAUUGUGGAUAAGAUCCUUCACAACAGAAAGGUGUCCAAACACAUACACCAGCAAAAAACUAAGGUAUAGUCUUGUAGGCUCAGUAUCCACAGUUAUGCAUAGGUUCUUUUUAAUUAAAUGAAAACUAAGUUAGAGAAUCUAAAACUUCCCAGAUAUUCAAAUUGAAUAAAUCACCAGCAUAUUUAAUAUGUAACUGGAUAGGAAAAUUGCUUGAACCCAGGAGGUAGAGGCUGCAGUGAGCCGAGAUCGUGCCAUUGCACUGCAGCCUGGGCAACAAGAGCAAAACUCUGUCUUAAAAAAAGAAAAAAAAAAAAAAAAAAAAAAAAAAAGAAUCUA
rnacentral:lncRNA from 10 species